CAGUCGCCACGGUAAUACGUAGGGUGCGAGCGUUAAUCGGAAUUACUGGGCGUAAAGCGUGCGCAGGCGGUUCGUUAAGUCAGAUGUGAAAUCCCCGGGCUUAACCUGGGAACUGCAUUUGAAACUGGCAGGCUAGAGUCUUGUAGAGGGGGGUAGAAUUCCAGGUGUAGCGGUGAAAUGCGUAGAGAUCUGGAGGAAUACCGGUGGCGAAGGCGGCCCCCUGGACAAAGACUGACGCUCAGGUGCGAAAGCGUGGGGAGCAAACAGGAUUAGAUACCCGAGUAGUCCCUGUCUCUUAUAC
rnacentral:rRNA from 1 species